rnacentral:rRNA from 1 species
CAGCGAAACUGCGAAUGGCUCAUUAAAUCAGUUAUCGUUUAUUUGAUAGUUCCCUGCUACUUGGAUACCCGUGGUAAUUCUAUGGCUAAUACAUGCAAAAAGCCGCGACUUCGGAAGCGGCGUGUUUAUUAGACUAAAGACCGACGCCCUUCGGGGCUUCCCGGUGAUUCAUGGUAACCUGUCGGAUCGCACGGCCCCCGCGCCGGCGACGGAUCAUUCAAAUUUCUGCCCUAUCAACUUUCGACUUUAGUGUAGGGGACUAAAGGGGUUGCAACGGGUAACGGAGGGUUAGGGCUCGACCCCGGAGAAGGCGCCUGAAAAACGGCGACUACAUCCAAGGAAGGCAGCAGGCGCGCAAAUUACCCAAUCCCGACACGGGGAGGUAGUGACGAUAAAUACCGAUGCAGGGCUCUUUCGGGUCUUGCAAUUGGAAUGAGUACAAUCUAAAUCCCUUAACGAGGAGCAACUAGAGGGUCAGUCUGGUGCCAGCAGCCGCGGUAAUUCCAGCUCUAGUAGCGUAUAUUAAAGUUGUUGUGGUUAAAAAGCUCGUAGUUGAACCUCGGCCCCGCCCUGCCGGUCCGCCUCACCGCGUGCACUGGACCGGGCGGGGCCUUCCCCGGGGGAACGGCAUGCCCUUCGCUGGGCGUGCCCGGGAACCCGGACCUUUACUGUGAAAAAAUUAGAGUGUUCAAGGCAGGCUCGCGCCCGGAUACAUUAGCAUGGAAUAAUAGAAUAGGACGCGCGGUUCUAUUUUGUUGGUUAUGGGACCGCCGUAAUGAUUAAUAGGGUCAGUCGGGGGCAUCAGUAUUCGGCUGUCAGAGGUGAAAUUCUUGGAUUUGCCGAAGACUCACUACUGCGAAAGCAUUUGCCAAGGAUGUUUUCAUUAAUCAGGAACGAAAGUUAGGGGAUCGAAGACGAUCAGAUACCGUCGUAGUCUUAACCAUAAACUAUGCCGACUAGGGAUCGGGCGGUGUUGCUUUCUGACCCGCUCCGGCACCUUUCGAGAAAUCAAAGUCUGUGGGUCCUG